GUGAGGAAUUUUCCGCAAUGGGCGAAAGCCUGACGGAGCAAUGCCGCGUGAAGGAUGAAGGCCUAUGGGUUGUAAACUUCUUUUCUCAGAAAAGAAUUAUGACGGUAUCUGAGGAAUAAGCAUCGGCUAACUCUGUGCCAGCAGCCGCGGUAAGACAGAGGAUGCAAGCGUUAUCCGGAAUGAUUUGGCGUAAAGCGUCUGUAGGUUGUUUAAAAAGUAUUCUGUCAAAGAUUAGGGCUUAACCCUAGAUAGGCAGAAUAAACUUUUAAGCUAGAGUUUGGUAGAGUCAGAGGGAAUUCCCGGUGGAGCGGUGAAAUGCGUAGAUAUCGGGAGGAACACCAAAGGCGAAGGCACUCUGCUGGGCCAAUACUAGCACUGAGAGACGAAAGCGAGGGGAGCAAAUGGGAUUAGAAACCCCGGUAGUCC
rnacentral:rRNA from 1 species